CUCUCUCUCUCGCUCUCGGUCAGCAGCGACGACGAACGAUGAUUAAGAGGUAAACUAGAUGUCUGUCCUCCAACUUUGCAGUGUAUGUGUUUGACGACGACGAACGACGAUUUUAUGGAAUUUUCUCUUCAAUUUAGCAAUGGAUCUAAUUCAAUAUGACAAGUUCAAGUGUUAAUGGCACUAGCUCAGAUCACUUGACAUAUUGCAACAAAAAUUGUUGUAAAUGUCAUAAAAGAGCAGGUAUUCAAUGGAGCUUGCCUACAAAUUCGCUAUGUAGAGAUGAUGAAAUUGCAAGACAGCUAGAAGAAGUGCAAAUGGACAAUGUGCAAAUUGUCAAUGAACAACUUGAUGAAAUUGCAAGACAGCUAGAAGAAGUGCAAAUGGCCGAUGUGCAAAUUGUCAAUGAACAACUUCAAUUUCUGAUUGCUGUGCAAAUGGACAAUGUGCAAAUUGUCAAUGAACAACUUCAAUUUCUGAUCGCGAAGAUUCAAAAAUUGGAAACUGAUGUUAUGUUUAUUAAGUAUGGGUUAAUUGUGGCCUUGAUUGUGUUUGGUUCCUUGUUAGUUAUGAAGAUGUGAUAAUGUAUGCAAGUUGGUCAUUUACUUUAAGAGCAGUCUCAGCGUUUGAAGCAGAAGCAACGGCAUACUUUUUGGCAGUACAGUGGGCAAGGCAGAAUAGUUUGUUUUGGAUAGAAGCUCGGACCGAUCAGGGUUAAGUGUGGCGUAGUUUACUUAUAGGUUUUUGCAUUUGCUCUUGUUUAUGGUUGUAUUACAUGUAGAUUAUAUGAACAUUGGUUUCACAAUAAUAAACGUGAGACAAGACUUCAGUCACCGUUCUAUCUUCA